GAUGAAGAACGUAGCGAAAUGCGAUACUUGGUGUGAAUUGCAGAAUCCCGUGAACCAUCGAGUCUUUGAACGCAAGUUGCGCCCGAAGCCAUUAGGCCGAGGGCACGCCUGCCUGGGCGUCACACGUCGUUGCCCCCCCAUCUACUCCUUCGGGAUUGCGGGGGGCGGAUGAUGGCCUCCCGUGCGCCUCGUCGCGCGGUUGGCCUAAAUGCCAAGUCCUCGGCGACGCACGCCACGACAAUCGGUGGUUGCGAAACCUCGGUUGCCUGUCGUGUGCGGUCGUCGCGCAUCGAGGGCUCGAAAAAAUUGCCGGGCUUCGGCUCGACUUUCAACGCGAACCCAGGUCAGGCGGGGUUACCCGCUGAAUUUAAGCAUAUCAAUAAGCGGAGGA
rnacentral:misc_RNA from 1 species